rnacentral:rRNA from 1 species
AACGAACGCUGGCGGCAGGCUUAACACAUGCAAGUCGAACGGGUGCGAGCAAUCGCAUCAGUGGCAGACGGGUGAGUAACGCGUGGGAACGUACCUUUUGGUUCGGAACAACACAGGGAAACUUGUGCUAAUACCGGAUAAGCCCUUACGGGGAAAGAUUUAUCGCCGAAAGAUCGGCCCGCGUCUGAUUAGCUAGUUGGUGAGGUAACGGCUCACCAAGGCGACGAUCAGUAGCUGGUCNGAGAGGAUGAUCAGCCACAUUGGGACUGAGACACGGCCCAAACUCCUACGGGAGGCAGCAGUGGGGAAUAUUGGACAAUGGGCGCAAGCCUGAUCCAGCCAUGCCGCGUGAGUGAUGAAGGCCCUAGGGUUGUAAAGCUCUUUUGUGC